GGCGUCCAAUGGCUCGCCUCCUCCUCGCCGCGGCGGCUUUCCUCCUCAUCUCCGCCGCCUCCGCCUCCUCCUUCUCCGCGGACAACCCGAUCCGCUCCGUCACCGACCGCGUCCACUCCCUUGAGUCUCAUCUUCUCUCCGUCCUGGGCCGCUCCCGUGACGCCCUACACUUCGUCCGCUUCGCUCACAGGUACGGGAAGAGCUAUGAAUCGGUGGAGGAGAUCAAGCUCAGGUUCAGUACCUUCGUUGAGAGCUUGGAGCUGAUCCGGUCGACAAAUCGGCAGAACCUGCCGUACAAGCUCGGGAUCAACCGGUUUGCGGAUCUGAGCUGGGAGGAGUUCAGGACGAGCCGGCUGGGGGCGGCGCAGAACUGUUCGGCUACGUUGAAGGGGAAUCAUAAGUUGACUAGUGAAGUGAUCCCGGAGACGAAAGACUGGAGGGAGGAGGGGAUCGUGAGCCCGGUGAAGGAUCAGGGACACUGUGGGUCUUGUUGGACCUUUAGCACCACUGGGGCUUUGGAAGCUGCUUACAAACAGGCAACUGGGAAGUCUGUUUCGCUGUCUGAGCAGCAGCUGGUAGACUGUGCCUACGCAUUCAAUAACUUUGGAUGCAAUGGUGGGUUGCCGUCCCAAGCCUUCGAAUAUAUUAAAUUCAACGGUGGCCUUGACACCGAAGAAUCGUACCCCUACGCCGGAUCCAAUGGCAUCUGCAACUUCAAAUCCGACAGUAUUGGAGUCAAGGUCACUGACUCAGUUAACAUUACCCUGGGAGCCGAGGAUGAGCUAAAGCACGCAGUUGGGUUAGUGCGUCCAGUUAGCAUUGCAUUUCAGGUUGUGAAGGGCUUCAAAUUAUACAAGGGAGGAGUUUACACCAGUGAGACUUGUGGCAAGACUCCUCUGGAUGUAAACCACGCUGUUCUGGCUGUUGGUUAUGGCGUAGAGAACGGUGUCCCGUAUUGGCUUAUCAAGAAUUCAUGGGGAAAUGAUUGGGGAGUUGAUGGGUACUUCAAGAUGGAGCUUGGGAAGAAUAUGUGCGGAAUUGCCACCUGUGCGUCCUACCCGAUAGUCGCAUAAUACGAGCACAAUUCAAGGUCUUUCUACCAAGGUCAUGAGGGGGAUUGUUAAAUAAAAUAUCUGUAAGAUGUAUUUCAGAUUACGAGCAUUUAUAUGUAAUGUUGGUGCACAAUUGAAACAUUCAUGUACAUAUUUACGUAUUUGUGCACUAUUUAAUAUAUGGAAUAUUUCUGGUGGAGGAGCAAUUGCGCUUGUUCACUUCCAGCCACGUAUUAAUCUCAGUUGAGAAAUUAUGUAAUAUGCUUUUAUGAGUCAAUAUGGGGCUCUUCG
rnacentral:misc_RNA from 1 species